AUAAAUGGCGGAGACUUUUCCCUAAAUGGGUUACUUGAUUUAAGAGCUGCUGGCUAAUUUUGGUCGGAUAAUUUAAUAGAAGAGGGAAGAGGAAAGGAAAGAAAGGGGCUUGAAGAAAGAGGAAGAGAAAAGAAACACAAGGAUGGAGAACAAGGAGAGACCAUUUGUUCUCAAACAGUAGCUGCCACUUCUAGCUGGGAGAGAAAUGAGAGCUCUGCUCAUGGUGAUCCAGUAUCUCCAGAAUCCAUCACCACUGCUGACCUCCCACUCCAUGUCUCCAAGUGCUCUGCUAUACCUGCCACCAGCAGCUGCCACCUCCAGACUUUGGAAGGUUAUAAUAAAACCUCUGUUCUACGAUCUGCCUUCUGCUUCAACAUCCUCACUCCCCACAAACAAUUCUAAUAAACAGCAAUUAAUCUGA
rnacentral:lncRNA from 1 species